GACGAACGCUGGCGGCGUGCUUAACACAUGCAAGUCGAACGAAGAGCGAUGGAGGCUUGCUUCUAUCAAUCUUAGUGGCGAACGGGUGAGUAACGCGUAAUCAACCUGCCCUUCAGAGGGGGACAACAGUUGGAAACGACUGCUAAUACCGCAUACGAUCUAAUCUCGGCAUCGAGGAUAGAUGAAAGGUGGCCUCUACAUGUAAGCUAUCACUGAAGGAGGGGAUUGCGUCUGAUUAGCUAGUUGGAGGGGUAACGGCCCACCAAGGCGAUGAUCAGUAGCCGGUCUGAGAGGAUGAACGGCCACAUUGGGACUGAGACACGGCCCAGACUCCUACGGGAGGCAGCAGUGGGGAAUCUUCCGCAAUGGACGAAAGUCUGACGGAGCAACGCCGCGUGAGUGAUGACGGCCUUCGGGUUGUAAAGCUCUGUUAAUCGGGACGAAAGGCCUUCUUGCGAAUAGUGAGAAGGAUUGACGGUACCGGAAUAGAAAGCCACGGCUAACUACGUG
rnacentral:rRNA from 1 species